rnacentral:rRNA from 1 species
UACGUAGGUGGCAAGCGUUGUCCGGAUUUACUGGGCGUAAAGAGCGCGCAGGCGGUCGUUCAAGUCGCGUGUGAAAGCCCCCGGCUCAACUGGGGAGGGUCACGCGAUACUGAUCGACUCGAAGGCAGGAGAGGGUAGUGGAAUUCCCGGUGUAGUGGUGAAAUGCGUAGAUAUCGGGAGGAACACCAGUGGCGAAGGCGGCCACCUGGGUCAGUUCUGACGCUCAGACACGACAGCAUGGGGAGCGAACGGG